CCCCCCUCCCUCCCUCCUUUCCUCCCUCCUAUCCUCCCUCCUUUCCUCCCUCCUUUCUUCCUACACCUUGUUUACAUAUGAACCUGAUCAGAGGUGUUUGUCUCCGUUUUGUAUUUAUAAGAAGAAUAACAAAUAUUCAGAAAUGCAAAAGGCAGUGGCAUCUGCAGGUUGUGGGGUUUAGCACCAUCCUGCAGGUUGUGGGGUUUAGCACCAUCCUGCAGGUUCUGGGGUUUAGCACCAUCCUGCAGGUUCUGGGGUUUAGCACCAUCCUGCAGGUUCUGGGGUUUAGCACCAUCCUGCAGGUUGUGGGGUUUAGCACCAUCCUGCAGGUUGUGGGGUUUAGCACCAUCCUGCAGGUUCUGGGGUUUAGCACCAUCCUGCAGGUUGUGGGAUUUAGUACCAUCAUGCAGGUUCUGGGGUUUAGCACCAUCCUGCAGGUUCUGGGGUUAAGUCCCAUCCUGUUGGCAGGUUGUGGGGUUUAGCACCAUCCUGCAGGUUCUGGGGGUUAAGUCCCAUCCUGUUGGCAGGUUGUGGGGUUUAGCACCAUACUGCAGGUUCUGGGGUUAAGUCCCAUUCUGUCUGCAGGUUGUGGGGUUUAGCACCAUACUGCAGGUUCUGGGGAUAAGUCCCAUCCUGUUGGCAAGUUGUGGGAUUUAGCACCAUACUGCAGGUUCUGGGGAUAAGUCCCAUUCUGUUGGCAGGUUGUGGGGUUUAGCCCCAUCCUGCAGAUUCUGGGGGUUAAGUCCCGUUCUGUCUGCAGGUUAUGGGAUUUAGCACCAUCCUGCAGGUUCUGGGGGUUAAGCCCCAUCCUGUUGGCAGGUUGUGGGGUUUAGCACCAUCCUGCAGGUUCUGGGGGUUAAGACCCUGCCCUGUGUUUGCUGAACCAUCAGUGGGCAUGGCAACACGUAUCCUGGCUACACCACCGCGUGUCUCUUUCCCUACCCUCUACAUCCUCUGCUUCCAUAGGUGUUGUGAUGAGAUACCCCCUCCCCUGUCCUUGUAUGUGCAUGCACUAUGGUUCUUCCACUUAACAAUAACAAUCAAUAAAGUUUGUCAAGAUAA